rnacentral:rRNA from 1 species
GACGAACGCUGGCGGCGUGCUUAACACAUGCAAGUCGAACGAAGUGGCGAACGGGUGAGUAACGCGUAAGUAACCUGCCCUUCAGAGGGGGAAAACAGUUGGAAACGACUGCAAAUACCGCAUACUGAAGGAGGGGUUUGCGUCUGAUUAGCUAGUUGGAGGGGUAACGGCCCACCAAGGCGAGGAUCAGUAGCCGGUCCGAGAGGAUGAACGGCCCCAUCGGGACUGAGACACGGCCCCGACUCCCACGGGAGGAAGCAGUGGGGAAUCUUCCGCAAUGGACGAAAGUCUGACGGAGCAACGCCGCGUGAGUGAUGACGGCCUUCGGGUUGUAAAGCUCUGUUAAUCGGGGCGCGGUACCGGAAUAGAAAGCCACGGCUAACUACGUGCCAGCAGCCGCGGUAAUUC